UUAUGUGUCUAAACUCAUUGAAUUCCAGGACUUGAACAACUUUGAGAGUGAUCCUGAAGAGUUUGCCAGAAUCUUCUACAAGGACAUGGGCAUUGAAGAUCCUGAGGUUGGAGAACAUAAUAGGAUUUAACUUGUGGCAACUUUAUGCUCGUUUGUAUGAUGACAAACUUAUGUUGGUAAUGGCAUUUUGGUUGGGUUAUAAUAAGAAACAAUUUGUUGUGCUAAAGUAGAAUUUAAAUUCUUGUUUUUAUC